rnacentral:rRNA from 1 species
CUCCUGAGAGACCGAUAGUGAACCAGUACCGUGAGGGAAAGGUGAAAAGAACCGUGAAUAACGGAGUGAAACAGAUCCUGAAACCAUGCGCCUACAAGCGGUCGGAGCCCUUUAGUGGGUGACGGCGUGCCUUUUGCAUAAUGAGCCUACGAGUUACUUUUACU